UACGAGAGCCCCGAGCGUUAUCCGGAAUUAUUGGGCGUAAAGGGUGCGUAGGUGGUUGUGUUAGUCGUUUGUCAAAUCUCUGGGCUUAACCCAGAAACCGCGAGCGAAACGGCACAACUAGAGAGUGUGGGGGGCAUAGGGAACUCAUGGUGUAGGGGUGAAAUCCGUUGAUAUCAUGGGGAACACCAAAAGCGAAAGCACUAUGCUAACACAUAUCUGACACUCAAGCACGAAAGCGUGGGUAGCGAAU
rnacentral:rRNA from 1 species